GAGAUUUGACCAAGAGGCACUCCCACAAAACCUUAUUAGUAGGGGAUUGGCAGAGGAAGAUCCAAAUGAACCACAUGGCUUGAAACUAGCAAUAGAAGAUUACCCUUUUGCUAAUGAUGGUUUAGUACUUUGGGACAUACUUAAACAAUGGGUAACAAAUUAUGUAAACCAUUAUUAUCCACAAACAAAUCUCAUUGAAUCUGAUAAAGAACUCCAAGCUUGGUGGUCAGAGAUUAAAA
rnacentral:misc_RNA from 1 species